rnacentral:rRNA from 1 species
ACUCAAAGGAAUUGACGGGGGCCCGCACAAGCAGUGGAUUAUGUGGUUUAAUUCGAAGCAACGCGAAGAACCUUACCAGGUCUUGACAUCGAGUGCAUACCUAAGAGAUUAGGGAAGCCCUUUGGGCACUCAGACAGGUGGUGCAUGGUUGUCGUCAGCUCGUGUCGUGAGAUGUUGGGUUAAGUCCCGCAACGAGCGCAACCCUUACGAUUAGUUGCUACGCAAGAGCACUCUAAUGGGACUGCCGUUGACAAAACGGAGGAAGGUGGGGACGACGUCAAAUCAUCAUGCCCCUUAUGACCUGGGCUACACACGUAAUACAAUGGCGCUAUAACAACGGGAAGCGAUGCCGCGAGGCGGAGCGAAACCCCAAAAAGCGCCUCAGUUCGGAUUGCAGGCUGCAACUCGCCUGCAUGAAGUCGGAAUUGCUAGUAAUCGCGGAUCAGCAUGCCGCGGUGAAUACGUUCCCGGGCCUUGUACACACCGCCCGU